CCCACCUUAUUGAAUGGUAAAAACUGAUUACAGCAACAUUUAGCUUUUCUCUUAUAUCUCAGCUACUUUCAAGCUUUUCUUUACAUUUCUCAAACUACCAACUAAUUUUUAACUAACUACAGUAACUGAUAACGGCAAAAGCAUUUACUUAACUACCAUCAGUCCUCAGAGAAACACGUUAUAUCAUUGUGGCUUACAGGAAAUAAGCAAAAGGGAGAUUUAUUGUUGUAUUUAUGUUUUUGUUUAUCUUAUGUACUGUACAUAUGAAAUUCUCUACAAGCGACUAUAUUUCUUCAACUCUGGCUUGCAACAGUGGGACUUUUUCCUUGGAUGAUCUGAAACUCCCCACACCUGUCUCACUAUUCAUGUAGUCAUCCUCUUUGGCCUUUCCCCACAUCACAGCAUAAAAUCCAGUUACAGUAAUCUCCAAUAAAAUGAGUAUGAUGUAGAAAACAACCCCAUAUCAAGCUUUAAUUGCCAUGCACCGGAAUCUUCAACUACUAUCAGUGAGUACAAGGCAGACAGCAUGGUACCAAAGAAGCAGAGGUAAAACAUUAUGGUAAGCACUGCUGUGAACUUCUUAAGGAUUAAUGCCUGCAAUAUAUACCAUGCUGAACUCAAAAGUGCUUCAGCUGCAAACAGAAGUCCACCGAGAAUCUAGAUUGAUUUUGAUGCAAGAAAUUGUUGCGGGGGUAAAACAGUAACUGAAGAAGUCUUCAUGAUUGGUGGGCCUUUGUAAAAUGUCAUGAUAAAUGCUCCAGUGAUUGAAACAAUCGCCCCCAAGGAUUUAGCUAGGCUUGUUGUGCUUCUCCAAUCUAGCUUUUCCAUCCUAAAGCACCUCCCAUUCAGCAAAACAACGCAGGCUUGCAAUAUAGCAGCAUAAUGAAUAUGC
rnacentral:misc_RNA from 1 species